ensembl:lncRNA
CACACCAGUUAUAACUGAUGAAGGUAGGAACUGAGCAACUGGAAUGAGGUCGGGCAAAGUCCCACAGUUAAAAAUGCUGUGCAGUAGAGCAAUGUAAAUCAUAAUUGCUAAGAAAAGCCCUGCAGGUAAAGGAUGUGGGUGCAGGAAAACGCUGCAGCAGCUAAAAAACACCGUAAGGAAUAAUGACUUUGAAGCUGUGGUUUCCUCAAAGACUCAGUAAGCCAUGCACAGAAUGAAUGCUGGGCAUGACCAGCCAUCUGAAUCUCAGGCAUGGUUAGUGAGGAAGAUGAGUGAGGAUUUGAAGAGGGACAUAUGUACUGUGCUAACCUUAUCUGCUGAGAGCACUUCUUAAGUGAAAUAGGUGGAAAAGAUUUUCAGAAUUUUUUUUAGGGGAAAGUUUGGAGAAAAAAGAAAUUAUCCUACUCAUAACACAUUUUUAUUCUUGUGAGGUCUGAACUCUUGUAAGGAUUUAUGGAACCAGUAAUACAAUACUAUCAUCACAUAAAGGCUUUCAAUGCUAAGAUGUUCAUUCCUUCUAAAACAAUACUGAACACAUAGGCCAGGCAAUCUCUCAAAAGUAUGUCCACGGUUUCCAUGCAUGUUCAUAUUGUUAUUUUCUGGUACAGAUAGUUCUGCAUGCAUAACCAUAUACAAAUUUAUUAUUAUUUAUUAUUCAGACACCACUGUGAAGUGCUAAGAGCCUUAGGGGGGAAAAAAUAAAAGAGCACAAGGUCCUUGCUCUACAGGUUUUUUGCACAGAAAAGGUGAGCUGAGAAGGAAUUGUGAAGGCCAGGUCAGAUAAUGUACGUCUAUAAAUUUAGUGUAGGAAGGCUGCAUCCUCCCUUUUAAUAUAUCCUCAACUUUUGCAUUUUCCAGCUUGUCAAAGGAAAAAUGGGAUAAAUAUUUAUCUUCCCCAAAUGGUCUCUGGUUCGGCUUAUCUUUAGUAUAGAUUGAAAAUCAGAAUAUAAAUCAUGAGCCUUUCUUAUGCAGAUGCCCAUUGUUAACAUUUGUCAUACACAGAGAGAAAACACUCAAAGUCUUCCCUCGUCUUUAUGGAGGAUGAAAACAAAUCGCACAAGCAUGAUCUCCAGGAGAGAAAAAAAAAAAAAAAAGAAAGUUUACAUUGGCUACAUCAGGAGGAAGUCAGAGGAAAGCUAAAUUAGGUAAUUGAGGAAAUAUUGCAGACUACUCUCUACCCCUGGAGGGCUCUAAGUUUCUUUUUUUGAAAGCUGUCACUUUGUAAAUACGAGGUACUUGGAAUUCUUAAGUUAUUACUGUCACCAGCUUGGAGAGGCUUUUCUGACUGGCAUACUUAGCUGAGUCAGGUUAGUGAAAGGAUUUUGUAAUUUUUUUUUUGUCCUAAUUUGGAGAAUAUUACCUAGCUCUCAAUUACCGCUUCAUAAAUAUGGCUGAAUAAUCACAAUCUUGGUGACUAUGGCAGGAGAGGAUAGUAUCUAGAUAAACCAAACCAAAUUCUGCAUCUAUGAACAUGACAGUCUUGACCCUUUCUAGCUUUGAAUGUCCUUCCUUCCUUCCUUCCUUCCUUCCUUCCCUUCCUUCCUUCCCUCCUUCCAUUUUUUAAUUUCUCAAACACUUUUU